rnacentral:sRNA from 1 species
CACCGCCUGGGGAGUACGACCGCAAGGUUAAAACUCAAAUGAAUUGACGGGGACCCGCACAAGUAGUGGAGCAUGUGGUUUAAUUCGAAGAUACGCGCAGAACCUUACCAACACUUGACAUGUUCGUCGCGACUUUAAGAGAUUAAAGUUUUCGGUUCGGCCGGACGAAACACAGGUGCUGCAUGGCUGUCGUCAGCUCGUGUCGUGAGAUGUUGGGUUAAGUCCCGCAACGAGCGCAACCCUCACUUUUAGUUGCCAUCAUUUAGUUGGGCACUCUGAAAGAACUGCCAGUGAUAAGCUGGAGGAAGGUGGGGAUGACGUCAAGUCCUCAUGGCCCUUACGUGUUGGGCUACACACGUGCUACAAUGGUAUUUACAACAGGAAGCGAGACGGCGACGUUAAGCAAAUCCUUAAAAAAUACCUCAGUUCGGAUUGCACUCCGCAACUCGAGUGCAUGAAGCUGGAAUUACUAGUAAUCGUGGAUCAGCGUGCCACGGUGAAUGCGUUCCCGGGUCUUGUACACACCGCCCGUCACACCAUGGGAGUUGGUUCUACCUUAAGGCAAGGUUUCAAACCCUUGACCACGGUAUAGUCAGCGACUGGGGUGAAGUCGUAACAAGGUAGCCGUAGGGGAACCUGCGGCUGGAUUACCUCCUUUCUAAGGAUGAAUAAAAUGAUAAUUUUAUUCUAAAUAAUAUACAGGUAAUGUUGACCGUCCUCAUUUCUCUUCUGAAAUAGUGUUUCUCUUGCAUGGGGGCCGGUAGCUCAGUUGGUUAGAGCACACCCUUGAUAAGGGUGGGGUCGAAAGUUCGAGUCUUUCUCGGCCCACCAAAAAGAUUAAGGGGGAUUAGCUCAGCUGGGAGAGCGCCUGAUUUGCAUUCAGGAGGUCAGCGGUUCGAUCCCGCUAUCCUCCACCAAAAACACUUAGUUAUAAAAAUUGUGAAUAUAAAUAAUAAUUAAUAUCAAUAUCUAUAUCCGAACAUUAGUAAAGUUAUCAUCUAAUGUUCAAAAAAAAUUUGAUUCAACACAGAAUUUUUUUCUG